CUCUGCAGGACACCGGCCCUCUAGGACCGAGUUUGGGCAACCCUGUUAUAGAUCAUGCAGAGUUUUCUGUGAGGGAAGAAGAAGAAGAAGAAGAAGCGCACUUAAAGCCUUCUGAUGAACUCGGAUGAAGAUCUUUCUCAAAGUCAGAGAGCAGCAGGCCUCUGGCUGUGACGCAGCCCAUCUGUGACAGCGGCGUGAUCUACGACUGUUUACUCUGUGCCCCUCCA